GGGCCUAUAGCUCAAUUGGCAGAGCACCGGACUCUUAAUCCGUUGGUUCCAGGUUCGAUUCCUGGUGGGCCCACUA
rnacentral:tRNA from 1 species